AGUGAACGCUGGCGGUAGGCCUAACACAUGCAAGUCGAACGGCAGCACAGUAAGAGCUUGCUCUUACGGGUGGCGAGUGGCGGACGGGUGAGGAAUACAUCGGAAUCUACUUUUUCGUGGGGGAUAACGUAGGGAAACUUACGCUAAUACCGCAUACGACCUACGGGUGAAAGCAGGGGAUCUUCGGACCUUGCGCGAUUGAAUGAGCCGAUGUCGGAUUAGCUAGUUGGCGGGGUAAAGGCCCACCAAGGCGACGAUCCGUAGCUGGUCUGAGAGGAUGAUCAGCCACACUGGAACUGAGACACGGUCCAGACUCCUACGGGAGGCAGCAGUGGGGAAUAUUGGACAAUGGGCGCAAGCCUGAUCCAGCCAUACCGCGUGGGUGAAGAAGGCCUUCGGGUUGUAAAGCCCUUUUGUUGGGAAAGAAAAGCAGCAGGUUAAUACCCCGCUGUUCUGACGGUACCCAAAGAAUAGGCACCGGCUAACUUCGU
rnacentral:rRNA from 1 species